GCGCGGGGCGGGGCGGGCCGGGGGCACGACAUACCUCCGCUUCUUUUCCAGGUGAGCCUUCGCUUCCAUGACCUCCUUCGCCUCUUCCGCGCGGCCGCCACAUCCGGAUCCUCCUCCUCGCUCGUCACCCGGGAACCGGAAGCGGACCCGGGCUUCGCGGCCCAAAAGCACGCCGACGUGUCGAAAAGUUGAAGGGAGAACUGACGAGGUCAUCAAAUCCUCUCAAUUCACAUUGAAUGAAAUCAAGUCUUGCGUUGCACAAAAGGUGUUUUGAUCUUGAUGUGCUGGAAUGUUCGUCCUCGCCAAUAAAGUUUGAAACGCCCAAUCAUAUCUAAGGACAACUGCCUGCCUUUGGGACGCGGGAGGAAACGGGAGUACCCGGAGAAAAGCCACGCAGGCACGGGGGGAGGACGAGCAAACUCCUUUCCAUCUUUGUGUGUUCACUGGCAGAACUUCCUGUUUAGAUUUUGAGUAAAAUGUCCCUUCUUUUUACGUUUUAUUCAUGCCAAUGUAAUUUUUAAAUAUUUGUUUACGAUAUGACCCAAUAUUUAUUCACAACACGUCUUUGCAAACAAAUGUAAAAGUUUGUAUUUGUUUUAUUUUAUUUCUCGAAUCCAAUCAGCGCGGUGGUGGGAGGGACUAAGUUGCCAUGACAAUGACGUCAGUGUUGGUGUCGAGUAACUAUAAGGUCAAAAUAAAGGCAAGUGAAUGGAAGAUGGUAGAGAGAGAGAGAGUGUGUGUGUUUGGUGGAGGGGGGGGGGGGGAAAACAACAGGUUGCCCUGAAGUGUACGUGACGUAUCCCGAAUGACUUUCAAAAAUAACACCAGUCUCGGAUAGACGUCGAGUCGGCGGAGUGAGGCUUCUUCCUCAGGCCGGUGCACCAGGUAGUGGAGGGGCUGUAAACAUCCCCGACUGGAAGCUGUCUUUCCAACUGAGCUUUCAGUCCGAUGUUUGCCGUCUCCAGCUACUUCCAGCCUCCUCCUCCACGAACGAAGACGACUAUGCCCGUCAAAUCCGGGCUCAAUUCAUGUAAACAUCCUACACUCAGCUCGAGUCCACUGCAAAAGCGGCUGAGAGAAGGUUGUUUACGUGCGCUGGCUUGGAACCCAGACCGCAAGAAGCACCGAGAGCAAGUAACACACCGCUGUGAAUGUCAUCGUCGUCUCGACGGGGGAUUAAAUAAAUGGUCUUUUCCAUCAUA